rnacentral:rRNA from 1 species
UACGUAGGGGGCAAGCGUUAUCCGGAUUUACUGGGUGUAAAGGGAGCGUAGACGGCACGGCAAGCCAGAUGUGAAAUACCGGGGCUCAACCCCGGGACUGCAUUUGGAACUGUUAAGCUGGAGUGUCGGAGAGGCAGGCGGAAUUCCUAGUGUAGCGGUGAAAUGCGUAGAUAUUAGGAGGAACACCAGUGGCGAAGGCGGCCUGCUGGACGAUAACUGACGUUGAGGCUCGAAAGCGUGGGGAGCAAACAGG